rnacentral:rRNA from 1 species
UACGGGGGGAGCAAGCGUUGUUCGGAUUUACUGGGCGUAAAGGGCGCGUAGGCGGCCACUGCAAGUCAGUUGUGAAAUCUCCGGGCUUAACCCGGAAAGGUCAACUGAUACUGCAGGGCUAGAGUGCAGAAGGGGCAACUGGAAUUCUCGGUGUAGCGGUGAAAUGCGUAGAUAUCGAGAGGAACACCUGCGGCGAAGGCGGGUUGCUGGGCUGACACUGACGCUGAUGUACGAAAGCUAGGGGAGCGAACGGG